CAGCUGAUAGAAGAGGGUUUUGCAUGAUCACAGCUCCACACACUUUAAGAGAGCUGGUGUGAUCAACACUGGAGACUUCAGUCCUUUCAGACUCACUCACACACAGCACAAUGAUGACCACACUGAUUCUACUGCUGACCACACUGGUCUUCUUUCCUCAGGUUUCCCAUCAAGAGGUUCAGUCUCCUGAGUUUCUGUCUGGUCAAGCAGGAAAGAGUGUCUCUAUUAGCUGUACUGGAACUAGUGGAGUUGGCAGUGAUAUGAGUUGGUACCUGCAGAAACCUGGAGAAGCUCCUAAACUCCUGAUUUAUAAGGCAAACAGACGUGAGUCUGGAGUCCCAGAACGAUUCAGUGGUUCAUAUUCAGAGCUUAACUUUCAACUGACCGUCAGUGGAGUCCAGCCUGAGGAUGCAGGAGAUUAUUACUGUAUGGGUUUCUAUAGUGGAGGAGUGUUCACACACUGAUAAACCGUCAUAGAAAAACCCCCCUCAGUCAGACUAUACAGAGACUGCACUGCUGCCGCUGCAUCAACUGCAGGUGUUGAAGGCAGAUGACGAGACACAGAACAGAACUGCACACAUACAAACACACACACACACACACACACACACACACACCUACACACACACACACACAA